GUACGCCGGAGAUACCUUCCAUCAUCGUCGUCGCCGCCAUAGAAAUUUGCGGCGUCGGAGCAACUAUGGCGAGCUGGUUCGUGUGAUGGGACUGUGGUAGUGGAGGAGCGACGGAGUUAGGGGAUGGAUUUGAGCUUUCUGAUCUCGCAGCUAUGUGAAAAUCUGACGGGGCGUCGGAUCCCACAACCGUGAUACCGCCGCCGUUACCGGCCGUUGAUCUAACUUCUCCGAUUUUUCAGAUAUGAGACGGACUUUGAAAAACUUCUCAGAAUACUCUCGGAAGACUUCUCGGAAUACUUUAAGCAAGUCUUCUAAUGCAUUUUGUGAUAGAAGACUUCCCACGAAGUCUUUGGGAAGUCUUCCGAAAUCUUGUGCCCAAAGUGAUCUGAGUUAGACUUUGGAAAACUUAUCAGAAGACUCUUGGAAGACUCUCGGAAGACUUCUCGGGAAAUCUUCUAAUGCAUUUUAUGCUAUAAGACUUCCUGCCCAAAGUGAUACAAAUUUUUGAUAUGUAUUUUGUGUGUUUUAUAUAUUAGAUUCUAAAAAGUUAUAGAUUCACCAUAAUGUGAUUGUUUUGUUUAUUAUUUAAGCAUAAAGAAUUUAUUUUUGGAGUUUUCUCUGUUUUGAAGCCAUUUGAAUGCUUUUGAAUAUGCAGAUUUUUUCAGAUCUGAGUCAAACUUUGGAAUAUUUCUCGGAAGACUCUUGGAAGACUCUCAGAAGACUCUUGGAAAACUUCUUGGGAAGUAUUCUAAUGUAUUUUAUGGUAGAAGACUUCCCGCAAAGUCUUCGGGAAGUCUUCCGAAGUCUUAUGCCCAAGGUGGUAUAAUUGAAUGAUGUCAAGUGGAGUCCAAGCUUAUCUAUGUUGAGUAAUGAUAUCUAGCUCCAUGUAUAAUAGUUUUGUUUAUGGUCUGUUUUAUGAUUUGUAUGUGUACUAUUUUAGUUUUGAAUUCUUUUGUAAACUUGAAGAGAUGUUAAUCAAAAGAAUUUGGUAUA